rnacentral:rRNA from 1 species
ACACUCCUACGGGAGGCAGCAGUGGGGAAUUUUGGACAAUGGGCGAAAGCCUGAUCCAGCCAUGCCGCGUGCAGGAUGAAGGCCUUCGGGUUGUAAACUGCUUUUGUACGGAACGAAACGGCCUUUUCUAAUAAAGAGGGCUAAUGACGGUACCGUAAGAAUAAGCACCGGCUAACUACGUGCCAGCAGCCGCGGUAAUACGUAGGGUGCAAGCGUUAAUCGGAAUUACUGGGCGUAAAGCGUGCGCAGGCGGUUAUGUAAGACAGUUGUGAAAUCCCCGGGCUCAACCUGGGAACUGCAUCUGUGACUGCAUAGCUAGAGUACGGUAGAGGGGGAUGGAAUUCCGCGUGUAGCAGUGAAAUGCGUAGAUAUGCGGAGGAACACCGAUGGCGAAGGCAAUCCCCUGGACCUGUACUGACGCUCAUGCACGAAAGCGUGGGGAGCAAACAGGAUUAGAUACCCUAGUAGUCCCAUGAU